AAUGAUGGCCUGUACCCGAAACCGACACAGGUGGGGUGGUAGAGAAUACCGAGGGGCGCGAGAUAACUCUCCCUAAGGAACUCGGCAAAAUGGCCCCGUAACUUUGGGAGAAGGGGUGCCACCGCAAGGUGGUCGCAGUGAAGAGGCCCAGGCGACUGUUUACCAAAAACACAGGUCUCCGCUAAGUCGCAAGACGAUGUAUGGGGGCUGACGCCUGCCCAGUGCCGGAAGGUUAAGGAAGCUGGUCAGCGCAAGCGAAGCUAGCGACUGAAGCCCCGGUGAACGGCGGCCGUAACAAUAACGGUCCUAAGGUAGCGAAAUUCCUUGUCGUAAGUUCCGACCCGCACGAAAGGCGUAACGAUCUGGGCGCUGUCUCGGAGAGAGGCUCGGCGAAAUAGAAUUGUCUGUGAAGAUGCGGACUACGUGCACCCGGACAGAAAGACCCUAUGAAGCUUUACUGUAGCUUGGUAUUGUGCUCGGGCUCGGAAUGCGCAGGAUAGGUGGGAGGCUAUGAACCAUUGCUUGUGGGUGAUGGUGAGCCACUGGUGAGAUACCACUCUUUCCGAGCUAGAGUUCUAACAGCCACCCGUUAUCCGGGGGCUGGACAGUAUCAGGUGGGCAGUUUGACUGGGGCGGUCGCCUCCUAAAAGGUAACGGAGGCGCGCAAAGGUUUGCUCAGGCUGGUUGGAAAUCAGCCGACGAGUGUAAAAGCAGAAGCAAGCUUGACUGUGAGACCUACAAGUCGAACAGGGAGGAAACUCGGCUUUAGUGAUCCGACGGUUCUGCGUGGAAGGGCCGUCGUUCAACGGAUAAAAGUUACUCUAAGGAUAACAGGCUGAUCUCCCCCAAGAGUUCACAUCGACGGGGAGGUUUGCACCUCGAUGUCGGCUCAUCGCAACCUGGGGCUGAAGUCGGUCCCAAGGGUUGGGCUGUUCGCCCAUUAAAGCGGUACGCGAGCUGGGUUCAGAACGUCGUGAGACAGUUCGGUCCAUAUCCGGUGCAUGCGCAGGAAUAUUGAGAGGAUUUCUCCCUAGUACGAGAGGACCGGGAGGAACGCACCUCUGGUGUACCAGUUAUCGUGCCAACGGUAAACGCUGGGUAGCCAUGUGCGGAGAGGAUAACCGCUGAAAGCAUCUAAGUGGGAAGCCCACCUCAAGAUGAGUAUUCCCAUGGGGUAACCCAGUAAGGUCACGGGAAGAACACCCGUUGAUAGGCUCUACGUGGAAGCGCAGUAAUGUGUGAAGCGGAGGAGUACUAAUAGACCGAGGGCUUGACCC
rnacentral:rRNA from 1 species